ACACUAUAUGAGCAGCUUCUCCUUGAAGCUCUCCUUGAUCGAGGAGGUGUAAGGCUUCGAGAAGCAGAACGAUAACGGAGUCUUCUAUAUCUAGAGUUAUAUAGCGAAUAUGACCUAUCACGUGACAUUCUAUAGUACCGAUCAUCAGGUGAGUAAGAACGGUCCCGCCUUCUAUAGUAUCGAUCCUCAGGAGAGUAAGAACGAUCCCGUCUGCAGUGGUAACGAUCAUCGGGAGAGUAAAACCUAUCACGCCUUCUAUAGUAUCUAUCAUCAGGAGAGUAAGAACGGUCCCGUCUAUGAUAAUAACAAUCAUAAGGAGAGUAGGACUGAUCACGCCUUCGAUAGUAUCGAUCUUCAG
rnacentral:lncRNA from 1 species